AAGAAGAGGCUAUGGAAACUCAUCCGAUUCCAGAUAUGAUGAUGGAAGAGGGCCACCAGGAAACCCUCCCCGAAGAAUGGGUCGAAUCAAUCAUCUUCAGGGCCCUAGCCCUCCCCCAAUGGGUGGUGGAUGAGGAAGGUAAACGUCUGCUCUAAGAAGCAGACAACUAAACGUACACAUUCAUAGAAGAAGGAAACCAUUAAGAAGUGGAGGGCUACCAUGCUAGACAAGUGGAGGAAUGUGUACGUCUAAAUAAGGAUUGCUCUGUGUCCUCACAGAUCAAUGAGGUCACGCUGGGAAUUCCCUCUGCAGGGAUCUGGCCUGACUGACAUGCAAUUCCAUAAAUGCACAUGUUUGUCUCAUUAUCUUUUUUGUAUAGUUUAUUAAAGUAUUAAUAUAGUUUUAAUAAGUAAAUAUUUUUAGGUUGUAAAACUGGUUCCUCAUCUUUAUAUAAUUAAUCAUAAAACACUCUAAACCUGAAGAAAAUAAAGGCUGCAUAUUCA